UACGUAGGGUGCAAGCGUUGUCCGGAAUUAUUGGGCGUAAAGAGCUCGUAGGCGGUUUGUUGCGUCGGCUGUGAAAAUCCCGAGGCUCAACCUCGGGUCUGCAGUCGAUACGAGCAAACUAGAGUGUUGCAGGGGGAGACUGGAAUUCCUGGUGUAGCGGUGAAAUGCGCAGAUAUCAGGAGGAACACCGGUGGGCGAAAGGCGGGUCUCUGGGCAACAACUGACGCUGGAGGAGCG
rnacentral:rRNA from 1 species